rnacentral:rRNA from 1 species
GUACACGCUGUGACUAGCAUAUCAAUAAGCGGAGGAAAAGAAACUAACAAGGAUUCCCCUAGUAACGGCGAGUGAAGCGGGAAGAGCUCAAAUUUGAAAUCUUAAAGGGUUUCCCUUUACGAAUUGUAGUUUAAAGAAGUGUUUUCUGUUGAGGUUUUGGUAAAAGUUCUUUGGAAUAGGACAUCAUAGAGGGUGAGAAUCCCGUAUUUGACCUUUACUUUCAACUUUGUGAUACACUUUCAAAGAGUCGGAUUGUUUGGGAAUGCAGUCCAAAAUGGGUGGUAAAUUUCAUCUAAAGCUAAAUAUUGGCGAGAGACCGAUAGCGAACAAGUACCGUGAGGGAAAGAUGAAAAGAACUUUGAAAAGAGAGUUAAACAGUACGUGAAAUUGUCAAAAGGGAAGCGUUUGACACCAGUGUUGUUUUUCUGAAAAUCAAUUAAAGAACUGUUUAUGCUAAGCUUGUUUAGACUUUAUCAGCUAAUCUGUUUAGUUUUGAGCUUUUCUUUAAUGCACUUUUCAGUUAACAAGUCAACAUCAAUUUCUUUUGCUGUAAAAAAGCUUGAGGAAGGUGGCUUGAGAUUCGUCUUAAGUGUUUAUAGCCUCUUGCCUAUGCAGUCGGAGAGAUUGAGGUCUGCAGCGUAGAUCCUUCGGGGCUAAAUGUAUUUGUGCUAAGUUAUAGCAUUUUAUAGACAACUUGUUGACUAUGAUUUGUCUUGUAGCUUACUCGCUUAUGUUAUUUUACCUACGCUUAGGAUGUUGAAGAUGUAGCACAUCAU